UAAACUCCAGAAAGCAGAUCAAACCAACCCUAACGGGAUUAGCUACUAUGGGCCAGCAGCAAGCCUGGACUAUGCCAACGGAUUUGAGAAACACCUACCCGGCCACCGUUCAGCCCGGGCCAGGAUG